rnacentral:rRNA from 1 species
GGGUUGUGAGGUUAAGCGACUAAGCGUACACGGUGGAUGCCCUGGCAGUCAGAGGCGAUGAAGGACGUGCUAAUCUGCGAUAAGCGUCGGUAAGGUGAUAUGAACCGUUAUAACCGGCGAUUUCCGAAUGGGGAAACCCAGUGUGAUUCGUCACACUAUCAUUACGUGAAUACAUAGCGUAAUGAAGCGAACCGGGGGAACUGAAACAUCUAAGUACCCCGAGGAAAAGAAAUCAACCGAGAUUCCCCCAGUAGCGGCGAGCGAACGGGGAGCAGCCCAGAGUCUGAAUCAGCAUGUGUGGUAGUGGAACGGUCUGGAAAGUCCGACGGUACAGGGUGAUAGUCCCGUACACAAAAGUGCAUGUGUUGUGAACUCGAAGAGUAGGGCGGGACACGUGGUAUCCUGUCUGAAUAUGGGGGGACCAUCCUCCAAGGCUAAAUACUCCUGACUGACCGAUAGUGAACCAGUACCGUGAGGGAAAGGCGAAAAGAACCCCGGCGAGGGGAGUGAAAAAGAACCUGAAACCGUGUACGUACAAGCAGUGGGAGCCUCUUUAUGGGGUGACUGCGUACCUUUUGUAUAAUGGGUCAGCGACUUAUAUUCUGUAGCAAGGUUAACCGAAUAGGGGAGCCGAAGGGAAACCGAGUCUUAACUGGGCGUUAAGUUGCAGGGUAUAGACCCGAAACCCGGUGAUCUAGCCAUGGGCAGGUUGAAGGUUGGGUAACACUAACUGGAGGACCGAACCGACUAAUGUUGAAAAAUUAGCGGAUGACUUGUGGCUGGGGGUGAAAGGCCAAUCAAACCGGGAGAUAGCUGGUUCUCCCCGAAAGCUAUUUAGGUAGCGCCUCGUGAACUCAUCUUCGGGGGUAGAGCACUGUUUCGGCUAGGGGGUCAUCCCGACUUACCAACCCGAUGCAAACUGCGAAUACCGAAGAAUGUUAUCACGGGAGACACACGGCGGGUGCUAACGUCCGUCGUGAAGAGGGAAACAACCCAGACCGCCAGCUAAGGUCCCAAAGUCAUGGUUAAGUGGGAAACGAUGUGGGAAGGCACAGACAGCCAGGAUGUUGGCUUAGAAGCAGCCAUCAUUUAAAGAAAGCGUAAUAGCUCACUGGUCGAGUCGGCCUGCGCGGAAGAUGUAACGGGGCUAAACCAUGCACCGAAGCUGCGGCAGCGACACUAUGUGUUGUUGGGUAGGGGAGCGUUCUGUAAGCCGUUGAAGGUGUGNNNNNNNNNNNNNNNNNNNNNNNNNNNNNNNNNNNNNNNNNNNNNNNNNNNNNNNNNNNNNNNNNNNNNNNNNNNNNNNNNNNNNNNNNNNNNNNUGCUAACGCUGAGGUGUGAUGACGAGGCACUACGGUGCUGAAGUAACAAAUGCCCUGCUUCCAGGAAAAGCCUCUAAGCAUCAGGUAACACAAAAUCGUACCCCAAACCGACACAGGUGGUCAGGUAGAGAAUACCAAGGCGCUUGAGAGAACUCGGGUGAAGGAACUAGGCAAAAUGGUGCCGUAACUUCGGGAGAAGGCACGCUGAUAUGUAGGUGAAGUGAUUUACUCAUGGAGCUGAAAUCAGUCGAAGAUACCAGCUGGCUGCAACUGUUUAUUAAAAACACAGCACUGUGCAAACACGAAAGUGGACGUAUACGGUGUGACGCCUGCCCGGUGCCGGAAGGUUAAUUGAUGGGGUUAUCCGUAAGGAGAAGCUCUUGAUCGAAGCCCCGGUAAACGGCGGCCGUAACUAUAACGGUCCUAAGGUAGCGAAAUUCCUUGUCGGGUAAGUUCCGACCUGCACGAAUGGCGUAAUGAUGGCCAGGCUGUCUCCACCCGAGACUCAGUGAAAUUGAACUCGCUGUGAAGAUGCAGUGUACCCGCGGCAAGACGGAAAGACCCCGUGAACCUUUACUAUAGCUUGACACUGAACACUGGUCCUUGAUGUGUAGGAUAGGUGGGAGGCUUUGAAGUGUGGACGCCAGUCUGCAUGGAGCCAACCUUGAAAUACCACCCUUUAAUGGCUGGUGUUCUAACGUAGACCCGUAAUCCGGGUUGCGGACAGUGUCUGGUGGGUAGUUUGACUGGGGCGGUCUCCUCCUAAAGAGUAACGGAGGAGCACGAAGGUUAGCUAAUCCUGGUCGGACAUCAGGAGGUUAGUGCAAAGGCAUAAGCUAGCUUGACUGCGAGAGUGACGGCUCGAGCAGGUGCGAAAGCAGGUCUUAGUGAUCCGGUGGUUCUGAAUGGAAGGGCCAUCGCUCAACGGAUAAAAGGUACUCCGGGGAUAACAGGCUGAUACCGCCCAAGAGUUCAUAUCGACGGCGGUGUUUGGCACCUCGAUGUCGGCUCAUCACAUCCUGGGGCUGAAGUAGGUCCCAAGGGUAUGGCUGUUCGCCAUUUAAAGUGGUACGCGAGCUGGGUUUAGAACGUCGUGAGACAGUUCGGUCCCUAUCUGCCGUGGGCGCUGGAGAAUUGAGGGGGGCUGCUCCUAGUACGAGAGGACCGGAGUGGACGCAUCACUGGUGUUCGGGUUGUCAUGCCAAUGGCAUUGCCCGGUAGCUAAAUGCGGAAGAGAUAAGUGCUGAAAGCAUCUAAGCACGAAACUUGCCCCGAGAUGAGUUCUCCCUGACCCUUUAAGGGUCCUGAAGGAACGUUGAAGACGACGACGUUGAUAGGUCGGGUGUGUAAGCGUAGCGAUACGUUGAGCUAACCGAUACUAAUGAACCGUGAGGCUUAACCUUACAACGCCGAAG